rnacentral:misc_RNA from 1 species
AAGUCGUAACAAGGUUUCCGUAGGUGAACCUGCGGAAGGAUCAUUAGAAGUGGCCUUCGGGCCGUGAGUAGUUUUUGUGUCUCGUCACAUUGAUCCAAGCCACCGCGCAUCACAUUGUACAGUGGCAGGCUUCGGGGUAAUCACCCUGACCUUUUGUGCGGCGCACGUGAUGCGACCGUCUUAAGGCGGCCUGCCCCUACUUCUCAUAACAAACCACCAUAUCCUGAUGACCUGACUGAACUUUUUUGCGCUUAUGCGCGACACAAAUUCAAAUACAACUUUCAGCAACGGAUCUCUUGGUUCC